UCUGUCUCCCAAAUUCCGGCGGCGCCCACACCCCCACCAGCGGCCACCUCUAGCCUGAGGCCCGAAAGGAACGCCCGGAGAGAUGCAUCCAUGGAGCUAAGCAUCGCCAGCCUCAUGAGCCCGCCCAGCCUGCGGGAGCGGGAGCCCCUAUGCCUGAAAGCAACGGAAGUGCUUUUUGAUCGUGCGUGCCUCUCGGACGGCCGGCCUGCGUGACGUGGCGGCAGCAAGGGCGGGUCUUCCUUGUGCGCGUGCGUGUGGUGGUGCAUGUGAGCGUUGGACUGCGGAGGCUGCGGCAACCUCGAGCACGACUACACGGCGCAAGAUUUAGUGGAGCAGGAGCUGGCCGUGGUCGGGCAGGUUCGGGGCGCAGGUGCAGUCACGCAGGUGCUCGGAAACCACGCGCGUGAUAGAAGCAGGACCUGUCGCCACUCGCAUAAUCUUGCAGUUGCAGGGCCGAGCUGCUCCCUGUCUUUGCUUUUCCUCCAGGACUUCAGUUUACUCAAGAAACCAAGUAGGUGAUCAUGGAGGUUGACACAAGUACAUCCAAGUCAGCGUAAAGCUGAGAUGGGAAACCAAAUCGAGCAACUUCAGAAGCGUAAUGCACUAUCCAAGGUAGACCACGAUAGCAGUUUUCAGAUAUCUUGUCGAUGCUAGCCAGGAAGAGCACCAAAGGAAUGAGCCUAUGGUAUACACCGGAAGCAAGCCACCAAGGGCCUCUUGAGAAGAGGUAGCUUCAGCACUGUACCACAAGAUUACAGAGACCAACCCAGCUGGAGGAUCGAUGUCUCAGUUCUACCUAUGUAGAAUAUAAAAGCAAUGGUACCAUUGUAAACUUGUAGUCUCGCCUACCAUCAUGUAUCUUAAGGAUGUAGCACUAACGCUGAAACCAUGUAUAACUAUAUCCAUAAAUAUCUAUGUUUUCAUGCAAAACGAAAACAUG